CAGGUAGAACCCACAGGUAGAAUCCACAGGUAGAAACAACAGGUAUAACCCACAGGUAAAACCAACAGGUAGAACCCACAGGUAGAAACAACAGGUAGAACCCACAGGUAGAACCCACAGGUAGAAACAACAGGUAGAACCCACAGGUAGAACCCACAGGUAGAAACAACAGGUAGAACCCACAGGUAGAAUCCACAGGUAGAAACAACAGGUAGAACCCACAGGUAGAACCCACAGGUAAAACCAACAGGUAGAACCCACAGGUAGAACCCACAGAUAGAACCCACAGGUAGAACCCACAGGU